rnacentral:lncRNA from 1 species
UAGGUAAAACAAUAAUCACAAGUGCUUAUGAAUUGCAAUUCCACAAAAAAUUAAAUCUCAAUUGGAAUUGCCAACUGACAUAGAAUUAAAACCAAGGUGAUCAAAAGAAGAAGUAUAUAUCUAAUAGAUGACUAAGAAAAUAUAUUACAUGAGACAUGUGAGGAAAGAAUCUUGACAUUGAAUAAUACAUAUACCUUAAGAGAAAAGUUUAAGAUAACAAAGCUCAAAUAUGACAUUAUCUUUG